GCACAGAGAGCUUGCUCUCGGGUGACGAGUGGCCCCACUUNNAGAGUAAUGUCUGGGAAACUGCCUGAUGGAGGGGNAUAACUACUGGAAACGGUAGCUAAUACCGCAUAACGUCGCAAGACCAAAGAGGGGGACCUUCGGGCCUCUUGCCAUCAGAUGUGCCCAGAUGGGAUUAGCUAGUAGGUGGGGUAACGGCUCACCUAGGCGACGAUCCCUAGCUGGUCUGAGAGGAUGACCAGCCACACUGGAACUGAGACACGGUCCAGACUCCUACGGGAGGCAGCAGUGGGGAAUAUUGCACAAUGGGCGCAAGCCUGAUGCAGCCAUGCCGCGUGUAUGAAGAAGGCCUUCGGGUUGUAAAGUACUUUCAGCGGGGAGGAAGGUGUUGUGGUUAAUAACCGCAGCAAUUGACGUUACCCGCANAAGAAGCACCGGCUAACUCCGUGCCAGCAGCCGCGGUAAUACGGAGGGUGCAAGCGUUAAUCGGAAUUACUGGGCGUAAAGCGCACGCAGGCGGUCUGUCAAGUCGGAUGUGAAAUCCCCGGGCUCAACCUGGGAACUGCAUUCGAAACUGGCAGGCUAGAGUCUUGUAGAGGGGGGUAGAAUUCCAGGUGUAGCGGUGAAAUGCGUAGAGAUCUGGAGGAAUACCGGUGGCNAAGGCGGCCCCCUGGACAAAGACUGACGCUCAGGUGC
rnacentral:rRNA from 1 species